rnacentral:misc_RNA from 1 species
AUUGUUCAGAAGCUUCAUGCCCUGAGAAAACCCAAAACAAAUAUUCAGAUUCUUCAACAGAGUGUUCUUUUAAAAUACAAGUAUGUCAUUUCCUUCCUCAUGGAACAUGGCAAGGAGAUAUAUACCGAGGUUCGUGGAGCAUACAUUGACACAAUGAACAAGGUUUUAAGUGCUCAUUUCCGUGCUUAUAUUCAAGCCUUGGAGAAACUACAGUUAGAUAUAGCAACAUAUAGUGAUUUGAUUGGCGUGGAGACCAGAAGCAGUGGCCUUUUUUCAAGACCAAGAGAACCACUAAAGAAUCGUUCAGCAGUUUUUGCUUUGGGGGAGAGGAUUAAUAUUUUAAAGGAAAUUGAUCAACCAGCAUUGAUUCCUCAUAUAGCUGAAGCCAGCUCCCAAAAGUAUCCUUAUGAGGUCCUCUUCAGGAGCUUGCACAAGUUGCUAAUGGAUACUGCAACUUCUGAGUAUCUUUUCUGUGAUGAUUUCUUUGGGGAAGAAUCUAUAUUUUAUGAAAUUUUCACAGGUCCGCUUGCUGUUGUUGAUGAACACUUCAAUUCAAUACUUCCUAAUUGUUAUGAUGCCAUAGGCCUCAUGCUUAUGAUUCGCAUCAUACAUCAGCAUCAGCUCAUUAUGUCUCGGCGGCGGAUUCCAUGCUUGGACUCAUAUUUGGAUAAGGUCAAUAUCUCUUUAUGGCCUCGUUUUAAGAUGGUAUUUGACUUGCACCUUAGCAGCCUGCGGAAUGCAAAUGUGAAGACAUUGUGGGAAGAUGAUGUUCAUCCUCAUUAUGUCAUGAGGCGUUAUGCAGAAUUUACUGCAUCUCUUAUUCACCUUAAUGUUGAAUAUGGAGAUGGGCAGCUUGAAUUGAACUUGAAAUGGCUGAGAAUGGCUGGUGAUGAUUUUGUCAUCNNUUGAUGAUUUGCUCAUCAAGCUUGCUAAAACAUUCCCAAAGCCAAAACUACAAAUUGUGUUUCUCAUAAACAACUAUGAUAUGACAAUUUCUGUGCUGAAGGAAGCUGGUCCAGAAGGUGGGAAAAUUCAAAUGCACUUUGAGGAACUGCUGAAAAGCAAUACAGCCUUAUUUGUGGAAGAGCUGCUACUAGAGCAUUUUAGUGACCUCAUCAAGUUCGUCAAGACCCGAGCCUCGGAGGAUCCAAAUUCAAGUUCUGAGAAGCCCAUAACUGUUGCUGAAGUUGAGACAAUUGUAAAAGAUUUUGCAAGUAGAUGGAAAGCUGCAAUAGAGCUGAUGCAUAAAGAUGUUAUCACUUCUUUCAGUAACUUCUUAUGUGGUAUGGAGAUCUUGAGGGCUGCACUGACCCAGCUCCUGCUAUAUUAUACUAGGCUGUCAGAUUGCAUAAAGAGGAUUGUUGGUGGGUCUGUACUGAACAAGGACCUUGUGUCCAUUUCAUCAAUCAUGUAUGAGAUCAGGAAAUACUCAAGAACUUUCUAGAUUACUAUUUUUAUAUCGCAAGUAUCUUUGUGAUGAAUUAGAUGAAAGUCACCCAUGCAAAGCUUGUUCAGUCCAGUCUGUUAUAUGUAGAGUUUGGAGGGUAUCAGGCAACAAAAACAGCGCAAAGAUCGAAGUUUCCACACACUGAAGCAAGUACGUUGGAGUAUAAUGAAAUAGAGAGUGUUCCAGAAACGUGUAGUUUCUGAUUUCCCUUUGUUUUUAGCUGCAAAUGCAUCUUUCAUAUUCUUUGAUGUGAUUUGACAGCUUAAUUUCACCAUUCUUUAUCUGAAUUCAAUUGUACUGCUUUGGUUUGCUUGCUCUUUUAUUUUUUUGGUACUUAGAAAAUUUUUAGACGGGUUGAGGCUAUUAGAGUAGUUUGAGCUUGAACUUCUUCUGCAUUACGAGGUAAGCACUCGACCAUUGAGUUGGUAGCCCAAGCCCAUGGUUUUGGUUUGCUUGCUAAGAUGUAUCAAUACUCAAAAACUAUGAGCCAAUUUCUAAUAAUUAACUUAUUCU